UACAAAAUAGAUGGCCGAUGAUAAAGUGAAUAAGCGAACAAUUGAAAUUAAAUAUUUGCUUAAUUGUAUAUCCGUGAAUUCUAUUUUGUUACUCUGGCCGAAGGUGACACUUGCUUCUAAUAAGAACGUCGUACUUUUUUUACAUUUACAUGUUUUGUUAAUGCAUGUUCCUUUGCGUAUGCAUUUCUUUUGUAAAGUUCAUAAAUAUUCUAAAACAAUUGUCCUCCCACAUUAUGUUUACUUCCGAUAACUUCAAUUUCAAUGAGCAUACUGAGCUGCAAUUAAUAAAUUACCGGCCUGCAAAAUACAGGAGAUUAACAGAUCAAAUAAGCGUGAUCUUUUUAAAUAGUUAAAAUAUUAAGUUUUUAUGUCAAAUGCUGUUGAACUUUUUAUAUUAAUUGGAGAUAUAAGUCAUGUUGAUCUGUUAUAUACAUUUGUAUCUAAUAAGCUUGACCAACUUCUUAAUAUCAGUCAGACCGUACGCGUACGGUCCGACCGUAUGCGUAUUUUGAAAAAGUACGCAUACAGUCCAGACCGUACGCGUACGGUCCAAAUACUCAUACGGUCUGGAACAUAUACAUUAGACAUU
rnacentral:lncRNA from 1 species